UUAUAAAUAAACUAUUUUAAGUUAUUAGACUCAUGAUCUAAAAAUAGAUUAAUUUCUUUUAUAAA
rnacentral:tRNA from 1 species